rnacentral:ncRNA from 2 species
AGCCAUUCCGAGGGGCGCGUAUGGUUAAGCGCUGAGAUGGGGACAAUACCUCCCUAGCACCCUUUGAACCUGAUCUGGAAAGCGGGCAAUAACGCCCUCAACCAGCGUAGGAACGGAGCGAAACGGGUGA